GUUAGUUUCACAUUUAAAUAAUCAAGGUCUAAAUUGUAGUACUUAAAUGGAAGUCAAGGAACAUGGAGAGCAAUGGAGGAAGCAGUAAUCAGCUUGAAAAGAUGUUGAAUCUCUGAUGAGCUUUGAAUAUGUCAGAUUUAGUUAUGUCCUAGAAAGGGAGUUUCCUUGAACAACUGCUAGUCACUUUAAAUUAUUCUGCAUUUCAAACAGGAAAUCAUCCAAUUAGACUAACAGCUGCAGAGAUUGGAAUAAGCCUUGCAUGUGAGAAAAUUAAAGAAAAUGCAGCUGAGUACUAUGCAAAGCAGUGAAGGAUCCACAUUUUUAACAUUAAGAGGGAACUUGAAGCAUUUUGAAAGGAAAGGAUUUCCAUGCAAUCAUCUCCUAUCAGCAUGACCUAUUUCAUCAUAUCAGUGAAGAUCUGAAAGCACCCAGAGAAGCGUGUCAAGCUUUCUGUGCAUAAACUAAUCAAGUAAUGAACUUUGAUCACAAUGGAAAAGGUGAUCCUGAGUGGGUGUAUGUGACCUGAAGUUCAUCAAGGCCAGGACCUCUUUUCUGACAGUAAUCAAUACCAGAAGCACC
ensembl:lncRNA